ensembl:lncRNA LINC01500 long intergenic non-protein coding RNA 1500
GCAGGUCUCGGGGCUGGUAGUAGCGCUGCCUGCAAACCAGCACCAAGGCUGCAAACGAAGCCAGAAAGAUGGUGGCCAGCACACCUAUGGCAACUAUCACCACGGUCUCCAUGCUUCCGGGGAGCUCCUGACUCAGUCCCGUUCACAUCGUCCUCAUGGGCUAAGGCUGCUGGAAGUGGCAAACUGGGGGAAGAGGAUGGCAGGAGCUAGGUUCCUCCACGACACCUCCAGAGACCUGAGGGCCUCAAGCUGCAGCUCCGGGGCACAUCCCGCUGCGCUCCCACGACGGCCCCGCGGAUGGCAAAGUCAGCGGCAUCGCCUAUGCAGGCAAUCAAAGGAUGUUGAUGGAUAAGUGUUUCAGGCAGAAUAAUGGCCCUCAAAGAUGUUGACACCAGAAUCUUCAGAACCUUUGCAUAUGUUACCUAACAUGACAAAAGGGACUUUGCUGAUGUGAUUAAGGUUAAGAACUUUGAGAAGGGAAGAUUAUCCUGGAUUAUACAGGUCGACGUUUAUUUCUUUCUGAACUUUCCUGGAGGAUCAUCGGCCAUACUCCAGCAGAAGGGUGGAUUUGAAAAAAUAACGUUUCCACGGCAACAGUGGCAGCAAUUCAAAGGAAGACGUUGGAGAAUUCACAUGCUAUUUUAGCUGGCUCUGUGAUUGCAAUCACACAAAUCAUUACAUUCCAGCGAGAUCCCAUCAACAGAAGGUUUUUCCAUUUCAGUCUGUCAAGUGAUUGCAUCUAAAAUAUGAUAACAAGACAGGAUUCUCACUGCCGUAUCUCCCGAUGCCAAUCUCCAAGGAGAUACUCCCAAAGUCCCAUCCAGUUAUAUCAUCAGGUUGAAAUUCCAGGAUCUCUUGGUGAUGGGUAGUUAUCUCCAAGUGUGGCUCCUGGGGUCAGAUCACCUACAGUCUAAGAGAAGGUUCUUUUUCUCCGCCAAUGGUGAUAGAUUUGGCACCAAAAAAAGAAGAGAAGAAACAUGACAGUCAUUGUUUCCACAGUGCAAAGCCCAGAGUCUUCCCUGGAGAAGAGUGCUGAUGACGAGGAUUCAUGUCUCACAACCCAGCACACAGGAAUGAUGUCACACAGAUGAGUAAACAGAAACAUCUGAUAACUUCCACCUAGUGCAUGGAGAGCUAGAAUUUGAAGUAGGGCUGACCAAUACCAAAGCCUGAUGUCUAGUGAAAUUCACACAAUGCUGCAAAUCUGAAGACUCUGCAGCAGAUUUUGUAGGUACUUUCAGCAGAGGAGUUUCAGAAAUGCUUUGCACAAACACAGGUUCACCAAGUGAGUGAUCACACGGGAAGACCACGUGGGAAGAUUUUAGGUUGUUUUAUUAAAGUUCAUUGCUGAGAACACAAAGGCUGAUGCCACAGAGGGGAAAACGCCAGAUCCACCACCGAACAGCUAAAGCCAUAUGCGCCUGCUCCAUGAAUGCCCAUUUUUCAUCUUUAGUGGGCUUCAAAGUUAAAUAGCACAGACAACACAAAGGAAAAUAUGACCGCAGCAAAAGACAGAAACUACACUGUGGCUACAAUUAAAUCUUCAUACCAAUCAUGCA